GACUAGGAUAACUCCGGGAAACCGGGGCUAAUACUGGAUAACUUUUCUCUCCGCAUGGAGAGAGAUUGAAAGAUGGCUUCGGCUAUCACUUACAGAUGGACCCGCGGCGCAUUAGCUAGUUGGUGAGGUAACGGCUCACCAAGGCAACGAUGCGUAGCCGACCUGAGAGGGUGAUCGGCCACAUUGGGACUGAGACACGGCCCAAACUCCUACGGGAGGCAGCAGUAGGGAAUCUUCCGCAAUGGACGAAAGUCUGACGGAGCAACGCCGCGUGAGUGAAGAAGGUCUUCGGAUCGUAAAACUCUGUUGUUAGGGAAGAACAAGUAUCGUUCGAAUAGGGCGGUACCUUGACGGUACCUAACCAGAAAGCCACGGCUAACUACGUGCCAGCAGCCGCGGUAAUACGUAGGUGGCAAGCGUUGUCCGGAAUUAUUGGGCGUAAAGCGCGCGCAGGCGGUCUUUUAAGUCUGAUGUGAAAGCCCACGGCUCAACCGUGGAGGGUCAUUGGAAACUGGAAGACUUGAGUG
rnacentral:rRNA from 1 species